rnacentral:rRNA from 1 species
GAUGAACGCUAGCGGCAGGCUUAAUACAUGCAAGUCGAGGGGCAGCACGGGUAGCAAUACCUGGUGGCGACCGGCAAACGGGUGCGGAACACGUACAGAACCUUCCUUUAAGCGGGGGAUAGCCCAUAGAAAUGUGGAUUAAUACCCCAUAGUAAUAUUGUCUGGCAUCAGAUGGUAUUUAAAGAUUUAUCACUUAAAGAUGGCUGUGCGGCUGAUUAGGUAGUUGGGUGGGUAACGGCCACCAAGCCAGCGAUCAGUAACUGGUGUGAGAGCACGACCAGUCACACGGGCACUGAGACACGGGCCCGACUCCUACGGGAGGCAGCAGUAAGGAAUAUUGGUCAAUGGACGCAAGU